rnacentral:rRNA from 1 species
GGGUUGUGAGGUUAAGCGACUAAGCGUACACGGUGGAUGCCCUGGCAGUCAGAGGCGAUGAAGGACGUGCUAAUCUGCGAUAAGCGUCGGUAAGGUGAUAUGAACCGUUAUAACCGGCGAUUUCCGAAUGGGGAAACCCAGUGUGUUUCGACACACUAUCAUUAACUGAAUCCAUAGGUUAAUGAGGCGAACCGGGGGAACUGAAACAUCUAAGUACCCCGAGGAAAAGAAAUCAACCGAGAUUCCCCCAGUAGCGGCGAGCGAACGGGGAGGAGCCCAGAGCCUGAAUCAGUGUGUGUGUUAGUGGAAGCGUCUGGAAAGGCGCGCGAUACAGGGUGACAGCCCCGUACACAAAAAUGCACAUGCUGUGAGCUCGAUGAGUAGGGCGGGACACGUGGUAUCCUGUCUGAAUAUGGGGGGACCAUCCUCCAAGGCUAAAUACUCCUGACUGACCGAUAGUGAACCAGUACCGUGAGGGAAAGGCGAAAAGAACCCCGGCGAGGGGAGUGAAAAAGAACCUGAAACCGUGUACGUACAAGCAGUGGGAGCACGCUUAGGCGUGUGACUGCGUACCUUUUGUAUAAUGGGUCAGCGACUUAUAUUCUGUAGCAAGGUUAACCGAAUAGGGGAGCCGAAGGGAAACCGAGUCUUAACUGGGCGUUAAGUUGCAGGGUAUAGACCCGAAACCCGGUGAUCUAGCCAUGGGCAGGUUGAAGGUUGGGUAACACUAACUGGAGGACCGAACCGACUAAUGUUGAAAAAUUAGCGGAUGACUUGUGGCUGGGGGUGAAAGGCCAAUCAAACCGGGAGAUAGCUGGUUCUCCCCGAAAGCUAUUUAGGUAGCGCCUCGUGAAUUCAUCUCCGGGGGUAGAGCACUGUUUCGGCAAGGGGGUCAUCCCGACUUACCAACCCGAUGCAAACUGCGAAUACCGGAGAAUGUUAUCACGGGAGACACACGGCGGGUGCUAACGUCCGUCGUGAAGAGGGAAACAACCCAGACCGCCAGCUAAGGUCCCAAAGUCAUGGUUAAGUGGGAAACGAUGUGGGAAGGCCCAGACAGCCAGGAUGUUGGCUUAGAAGCAGCCAUCAUUUAAAGAAAGCGUAAUAGCUCACUGGUCGAGUCGGCCUGCGCGGAAGAUGUAACGGGGCUAAACCAUGCACCGAAGCUGCGGCAGCGACGCUGAUGCGUUGUUGGGUAGGGGAGCGUUCUGUAAGCCUGCGAAGGUGUGCUGUGAGGCAUGCUGGAGGUAUCAGAAGUGCGAAUGCUGACAUAAGUAACGAUAAAGCGGGUGAAAAGCCCGCUCGCCGGAAGACCAAGGGUUCCUGUCCAACGUUAAUCGGGGCAGGGUGAGUCGACCCCUAAGGCGAGGCCGAAAGGCGUAGUCGAUGGGAAACAGGUUAAUAUUCCUGUACUUGGUGUUACUGCGAAGGGGGGACGGAGAAGGCUAUGUUGGCCGGGCGACGGUUGUCCCGGUUUAAGCGUGUAGGCUGGUUUUCCAGGCAAAUCCGGAAAAUCAAGGCUGAGGCGUGAUGACGAGGCACUACGGUGCUGAAGCAACAAAUGCCCUGCUUCCAGGAAAAGCCUCUAAGCAUCAGGUAACAUCAAAUCGUACCCCAAACCGACACAGGUGGUCAGGUAGAGAAUACCAAGGCGCUUGAGAGAACUCGGGUGAAGGAACUAGGCAAAAUGGUGCCGUAACUUCGGGAGAAGGCACGCUGAUAUGUAGGUGAAGCGACUUGCUCGUGGAGCUGAAAUCAGUCGAAGAUACCAGCUGGCUGCAACUGUUUAUUAAAAACACAGCACUGUGCAAACACGAAAGUGGACGUAUACGGUGUGACGCCUGCCCGGUGCCGGAAGGUUAAUUGAUGGGGUUAGCGCAAGCGAAGCUCUUGAUCGAAGCCCCGGUAAACGGCGGCCGUAACUAUAACGGUCCUAAGGUAGCGAAAUUCCUUGUCGGGUAAGUUCCGACCUGCACGAAUGGCGUAAUGAUGGCCAGGCUGUCUCCACCCGAGACUCAGUGAAAUUGAACUCGCUGUGAAGAUGCAGUGUACCCGCGGCAAGACGGAAAGACCCCGUGAACCUUUACUAUAGCUUGACACUGAACAUUGAGCCUUGAUGUGUAGGAUAGGUGGGAGGCUUUGAAGUGUGGACGCCAGUCUGCAUGGAGCCGACCUUGAAAUACCACCCUUUAAUGUUUGAUGUUCUAACGUGGACCCGUAAUCCGGGUUGCGGACAGUGUCUGGUGGGUAGUUUGACUGGGGCGGUCUCCUCCUAAAGAGUAACGGAGGAGCACGAAGGUUGGCUAAUCCUGGUCGGACAUCAGGAGGUUAGUGCAAUGGCAUAAGCCAGCUUGACUGCGAGCGUGACGGCGCGAGCAGGUGCGAAAGCAGGUCAUAGUGAUCCGGUGGUUCUGAAUGGAAGGGCCAUCGCUCAACGGAUAAAAGGUACUCCGGGGAUAACAGGCUGAUACCGCCCAAGAGUUCAUAUCGACGGCGGUGUUUGGCACCUCGAUGUCGGCUCAUCACAUCCUGGGGCUGAAGUAGGUCCCAAGGGUAUGGCUGUUCGCCAUUUAAAGUGGUACGCGAGCUGGGUUUAGAACGUCGUGAGACAGUUCGGUCCCUAUCUGCCGUGGGCGCUGGAGAACUGAGGGGGGCUGCUCCUAGUACGAGAGGACCGGAGUGGACGCAUCACUGGUGUUCGGGUUGUCAUGCCAAUGGCACUGCCCGGUAGCUAAAUGCGGAAGAGAUAAGUGCUGAAAGCAUCUAAGCACGAAACUUGCCCCGAGAUGAGUUCUCCCUGACUCCUUGAGAGUCCUGAAGGAACGUUGAAGACGACGACGUUGAUAGGCCGGGUGUGUAAGCGCAGCGAUGCGUUGAGCUAACCGGUACUAAUGAACCGUGAGGCUUAACCUUACAACGCCGAAGGUGUUU